rnacentral:snRNA from 1 species
GUGCUCGCUUCGGCAGCACAUAGACUAAAAUUGGAACAAUAGAGAAAAGAUUAGCAUGGCCCCUGCACAAGGAUGACAUGCAAAUUCAUGAAGCAUUCCAUAUUUU